UACGGGAGGCAGCAGUGGGGAAUUUUCCGCAAUGGGCGAAAGCCUGACGGAGCAACGCCGCGUGAGGGAUGGAGGCCUUUGGGCUGUAAACCUCUUUUCUCAAGGAAGAAGACCUGACGGUACUUGAGGAAUAAGCCACGGCUAAUUCCGUGCCAGCAGCCGCGGUAAUACGGGAGUGGCAAGCGUUAUCCGGAAUUAUUGGGCGUAAAGCGUCCGCAGGCGGCCGUUUAAGUCUGUUGUUAAAUCGUGGAGCUCAACUCCAUCACGGCAAUGGAAACUGUUCGGCUUGAGUAUGGUAGGGGCAGAGGGAAUUUCCGGUGUAGCGGUGAAAUGCGUAGAUAUCGGGAAGAACACCAGUGGCGAAAGCGCUCUGCUGGACCAUUACUGACGCUCAUGGACGAAAGCCAGGGGAGCGAAAGGGAUUAGAUACCCCUGUAGUCCUGGCCGUAAACGAUGAACACUAGAUGUUGGGGGAAUCGACCCCCUCGGUGUCG
rnacentral:rRNA from 1 species